CAGGAAAGUGACUUGCUGAAGGAAAAUAAUGACAAACUGUUAUCCAGUGCCUUUGAUAUAUCACAUCAACAAAAGAGGAAUCUUCAAGAGAUGCAACUAAAAUCACAGAUUACCCAGCUAGAGAUGGCACUAAAAGCUGAACUUGUGGAU